GACGAACGCUGGCGGCGUGCUUAACACAUGCAAGUCGAACGGAAAGGCCCUGCUUGCAGGGUACUCGAGUGGCGAACGGGUGAGUAACACGUGGGUGAUCUGCCCUGCACUUCGGGAUAAGCCUGGGAAACUGGGUCUAAUACCGGAUAGGAGCCAUUUUUAGUGUGAUGGUUGGAAAGUUUUUUCGGUGUAGGAUGAGCUCGCGGCCUAUCAGCUUGUUGGUGGGGUAAUGGCCUACCAAGGCGGCGACGGGUAGCCGGCCUGAGAGGGUGGACGGCCACAUUGGGACUGAGAUACGGCCCAGACUCCUACGGGAGGCAGCAGUGGGGAAUAUUGAACAAUGGGCGCAAGCCUGAUGCAGCGACGCCGCGUGGGGGAUGACGGCCUUCGGGUUGUAGACUCCUUUCGCUAGGGACGAAGCUUUUUGUGACGGUACCUAGAUAAGAAGCACCGGCUAACUACGUG
rnacentral:rRNA from 1 species